rnacentral:rRNA from 1 species
AGUGAACGCUGGCGGUAGGCCUAACACAUGCAAGUCGAACGGCAGCACAGUAAGAGCUUGCUCUUACGGGUGGCGAGUGGCGGACGGGUGAGGAAUACAUCGGAAUCUACUUUUUCGUGGGGGAUAACGUAGGGAAACUUACGCUAAUACCGCAUACGACCUACGGGUGAAAGCAGGGGAUCUUCGGACCUUGCGCGAUUGAAUGAGCCGAUGUCGGAUUAGCUAGUUGGCGGGGUAAAGGCCCACCAAGGCGACGAUCCGUAGCUGGUCUGAGAGGAUGAUCAGCCACACUGGAACUGAGACACGGUCCAGACUCCUACGGGAGGCAGCAGUGGGGAAUAUUGGACAAUGGGCGCAAGCCUGAUCCAGCCAUACCGCGUGGGUGAAGAAGGCCUUCGGGUUGUAAAGCCCUUUUGUUGGGAAAGAAAAGCAGCAGGUUAAUACCCCGCUGUUCUGGCGGUACCCAAAGAAUAAACACCGGCUAACUUCGU